UGUAUAUACCUCUUUUUGCUCCAGUAAGGGCAGGGCGUCUAUGAGCAGAGUCAUCCAGAAGCUGCGAGGAGCGAUCUUUGCUGUCAUGAGGGAGAGCAGGAGCUUCGCUGCCUCUGUGAACUUCUUCUCUCCGUACAGCCGGUGGAACUCACGAUGGAGGUAAAGCACAGUGUCGAGUGUGUAAUGUGAAGAUGGAUGUCUCACCUGUGAUGAGAGAAGAGUCCAGAGGCGUACUCCAGCACCAGGAACUCCCUCAGGUGCUUGGGGUUUACAUUAUGACACCUGAAGCGUGUGAUGGUCGACAGGAGUUUGUUGUUAUUUACUGUGACUGCAGGUUUGUGAUCUCUGCUGCUGAGCUCAUCUACAUUCCACCAUUUUAGGUAAAAUGCUUUCUUUAAAGACUAGAAAUGGACAACUAUCAGACCCUGAAGGUGUGUGCCAACUUCUAAAUUAUACAAGCAUUUUUAAAUUGUUUAAAUAUUGUUAUUAUGAUGUUAUAAAUAUUUGCC